rnacentral:rRNA from 1 species
UACGAAGGGUGCAAGCGUUACUCGGAAUUACUGGGCGUAAAGCGUGCGUAGGUGGUUUGUUAAGUCUGUUGUGAAAGCCCCGGGCUCAACCUGGGAAUGGCAAUGGAUACUGGCAAGCUAGAGUGCGGUAGAGGGUAGUGGAAUUCCCGGUGUAGCGGUGAAAUGCGUAGAGAUCGGGAGGAACACCAGUGGCGAAGGCGGCUACCUGGACCAGCCCUGACACUGAGGCACGAAAGCGUGGGGAGCAAACAGG